AGCGUCUGGAAAGGCGCGCGAUACAGGGUGACAGCCCCGUACACAAAAGCGUAUGUGCUGUGAGCUCGAUGAGUAGGGCGGGACACGUGGUAUCCUGUCUGAAUAUGGGGGGACCAUCCUCCAAGGCUAAAUACUCCUGACUGACCGAUAGUGAACCAGUACCGUGAGGGAAAGGCGAAAAGAACCCCGGCGAGGGGAGUGAAAAAGAACCUGAAACCGUGUACGUACAAGCAGUGGGAGCCCCACCACUAAGCCAGUGGUGAACUCCACAUACGCAUCCUUUGCUGAGGAUACGGUUAACGGAGCGAAAGCGACGUUCAACCGCAAAAGAAGCAGAGGGGGCUUAGUGGUGGGGUGACUGCGUACCUUUUGUAUAAUGGGUCAGCGACUUAUAUUCUGUAGCAAGGUUAACCGAAUAGGGGAGCCGGAGGGAAACCGAGUCUUAACCGGGCGUUAAGUUGCAGGGUAUAGACCCGAAACCCGGUGAUCUAGCCAUGGGCAGGUUGAAGGUUGGGUAACACUAACUGGAGGACCGAACCGACUAAUGUUGAAAAAUUAGCGGAUGACCUGUGGCUGGGGGUGAAAGGCCAAUCAAACCGGGAGAUAGCUGGUUCUCCCCGAAAGCUAUUUAGGUAGCGCCUCGUGAAUUCAUCUCCGGGGGUAGAGCACUGUUUCGGCUAGGGGGCCAUCCCGGCUUACCAACCCGAUGCAAACUGCGAAUACCGGAGAAUGUUAUCACGGGAGACACACGGCGGGUGCUAACGUCCGUCGUGAAGAGGGAAACAACCCAGACCGCCAGCUAAGGUCCCAAAGUCAUGGUUAAGUGGGAAACGAUGUGGGAAGGCCCAGACAGCCAGGAUGUUGGCUUAGAAGCAGCCAUCAUUUAAAGAAAGCGUAAUAGCUCACUGGUCGAGUCGGCCUGCGCGGAAGAUGUAACGGGGCUAAACCAUGCACCGAAGCUGCGGCAGCGAACGUAUC
rnacentral:rRNA from 1 species